rnacentral:rRNA from 1 species
GACGAACGCUGGCGGCGUGCUUAACACAUGCAAGUCGAACGGAAAGGCCCUGCUCUUGUGGGGUGCUCGAGUGGCGAACGGGUGAGUAACACGUGAGUAACCUGCCCUUGACUUUGGGAUAACUUCAGGAAACUGGGGCUAAUACCGGAUAGGAGCUCCUGCUGCAUGGUGGGGGUUGGAAAGUUUCGGCGGUUGGGGAUGGACUCGCGGCUCAUCAGCUUGUUGGUGGGGUAGUGGCUUACCAAGGGUUUGACGGGUAGCCGGCCUGAGAGGGUGACCGGCCACAUUGGGACUGAGAUACGGACCAGACUCCUACGGGAGGCAGCAGUGGGGAAUAUUGCACAGUGGGCGGAAGCCUGAUGCAGCAACGCCGCGUGCGGGAUGACGGCCUUCGGGGUGUAAACCGCUUUCGCCUGUGACGAAGCGUGAGUGACGGUAAUGGGUAAAGAAGCACCGGCUAACUACGUG